rnacentral:rRNA from 1 species
UAGGGAAUAUUGGACAAUGGGCGCAAGCCUGAUCCAGCAAUGCCGCGUGAGCGAUGAAGGCCUUAGGGUUGUAAAGCUCUUUUACCCGGGAUGAUAAUGACAGUACCGGGAGAAUAAGCCCCGGCUAACUCCGUGCCAGCAGCCGCGGUAAUACGGAGGGGGCUAGCGUUGUUCGGAAUUACUGGGCGUAAAGCGCUCGUAGGCGGUUAUUUAAGUCAGGGGUGAAAGCCCGGAGCUCAACUCCGGAAUAGCCCUUGAGACUGGAUAGCUAGAAUCACGGAGAGGUGGGUGGAAUUCCGAGUGUAGAGGGGAAAUGCGUAGAUAUUCGGAAGAACACCAGUGGCGAAGGCGGCCCACUGGACGUGUAUUGACGCUGAGGUACGAAAGCGUGGGGAGCAAACA